rnacentral:rRNA from 1 species
GCAUGCCUACAGCAUAGCGUUAAUGCACCAGAUCUCAUUAGAACGUCGCAGUUAAGCGUGCUCGGGCUAGAGUAGUAUUGGGAUGGGUGACCGCUGAGGAAAUCCUAGUGUUUUACAUGCC